AUGUUUUCUGCCACUCACUCUGUUCUUGUGAUCUUCUUAAUAUUCAGAGGGACCAAUGGAGACUCAGUGAACCAGACAGAAGGCCCAGUGACUGUCUCAGAGGGGGCGCCUAGGACCCUGCACUGCACUUACCAGACCUCUGAUUCAGAUCCCUAUCUUUUCUGGUACGUCCAGUAUCUCAACAAAGCUCUGCAACUCCUCCUGAAGGGCUCGAAGGCAAACCGGAAGGCAGAGCAUCAAGGUUUUCAGGCCACUCUUGUUACAAGUGACAGCUCCUUCCACCUGCAGAAACCCUCAAUGCAAGCAUCAGACUCGGCUGUGUACUACUGUGCUCUGAGUGACACGGUGAGAGGGGCUGCAGGGGGAGUUGAACACAAACCCAAGGGAGCAGGAGGGCUGAAGUGA